rnacentral:miRNA from 1 species
UGGCCAAAAAGCAGGCAGAGA